rnacentral:rRNA from 1 species
UACAGAGGUGGCAAGCGUUGUUCGGAAUUACUGGGCGUAAAGGGCGCGUAGGCGGUCUUGCAAGUCCUGUGUGAAAUCCCUCGGCUCAACUGAGGAAUUGCACGGGAAACUGCUUGGCUUGAGUUCGGGAGAGGGAAGCGGAAUUCCGGGUGUAGCGGUGAAAUGCGUAGAUAUCCGGAGGAACACCGGUGGCGAAGGCGGCUUCCUGGACCGACACUGACGCUGAGGCGCGAAAGCUAGGGGAGCAAACGGG